rnacentral:rRNA from 1 species
AGCAGUCGCCGCGGUAAUACAGAGGGUGCGAGCGUUAAUCGGAUUUACUGGGCGUAAAGCGUGCGUAGGCGGCUUCUUAAGUCGGAUGUGAAAUCCCUGAGCUUAACUUAGGAAUUGCAUUCGAUACUGGGAAGCUAGAGUAUGGGAGAGGAUGGUAGAAUUCCAGGUGUAGCGGUGAAAUGCGUAGAGAUCUGGAGUAAUACCGAUGGCGAAGGCAGCCAUCUGGCCUAAUACUGACGCUGAGGUACGAAAGCAUGGGGAGCAAACAGGAUUAGAUACCCCAGUAGUCCCUGUCUCUUAUAU